CCACAAAAAAAAGGCGCAUCAUCGACCGACCUAUUCUACUCUUAGAAAGGUUUGAGUAAGAGCGCAUCUGUUGGGACCCGAAAGAUGGUGAACUAUGCCUGAAUAGGGUGAAGCCAGAGGAAACUCUGGUGGAGGCUCGUAGCGAUUCUGACGUGCAAAUCGAUCGUCAAAUUUGGGUAUAGGGGCGAAAGACUAAUCGAACUGUCUAGUAGCUGGUUCCCUCCGAAGUUUCCCUCAGGAUAGCUGGAACUUACGGCAGUUUUAUCAGGUAAAGCGAAUGAUUAGAGGUCUAUAAAAGGGAAUUAAAAUAAAUUAAAUUUGAUAAGCAAAUUUUCCUUCUAAAACUUUUUUACGGGACUGGCAAGUUUCAAGCUUUUGUAUGAUUUACGAAUAGAACUCAGAUUUGGGUUACUUUUUUUGGGGGAAGGGGGGCUAUCUAUUCUUGGUGGAGUUUUGGGUAUAGAGUUCAGAUGCAGGUAUAUUCUUAGGGGUGGCGCGGUUCCAUUCUUUUGCUUAAAUGCUUAAAUGUUAGACCCUAUUAAAGCUUGCGCUUAUUUCUAGGGGGCGCCAAGGUAUUAUAGGCGGCGAAGGUGGCCAGGGAUCCGUAAGGAUCUUAAGACUGGCAGUGCACUUGAUUUAAAGGAGUCAAUCGACGAGGACUCGACAACCUCGGAGGGAAGCAAGUUCCAAGUCCUGAUAGUUCUAGGAAAAAAAGAGUAUGAGUGGGAAAGUACAUUGGACUGAAUCUGGUUAUAUUUAGAGGAGUUUGUUCUGGACGGUCGAAGGUUUGGCUGAAAUUGUUGAGGUAGAGCAAUGUUCACUAAAUUGUUGCGGAUUUUAUAGAAGAGGCAUAGUUGGGCGAGCUGACGUCGCACUUCAAGCGAGUCCCAAUUCAGGGAUUUAACAAGGUCAGAUGAGCUUGCCCUGGGGUCGUAGGUACCAGUAACGAAACGCGCCGCAUUUUUCUGCACUUGCUCUAAUUUGUUGAUGUCUCUAUCCGUGAAGGGGUUCCAUACUGGAAAAGCAUUUUCCAUGACCGGUCUUAUCAUUGAAAAGUACGCACGUUCCUUUACACUCUGAGAACAGGGUUUAAGGGUACGUC
rnacentral:ncRNA from 1 species